rnacentral:lncRNA from 1 species
GUUUAGAAAUUUUCAGAAUAUAGAAUUUACAAUAAAGAAAUCCUCUUGAUUCCUGGAUUGAUAAUGAUUCUUUAUCAAAAUUUAAUGAAUCUGUUUUCUACAGGACUAUAUUUUCCAAAGAAAGAUGGCCAUAUAAUUUUACAAUAACAUUUCAGGGUGAUAGUUUUGUACUUUUUAUAGAGUACUCAGUGAUAUCUUUUUGUUUUACAUUUUAAUGCUUAAAUUUCAGUUCACAGCUUGAUUUGCUCCUAUUAUGUUUUCCCAGUUCUGUGGCUUCAGGCUUAGAAAAUAAUACCUGAAUGUGUAAUUCUGACGAUUUAUGAAAUGACUGAGGUUUUUUUCAGUUUUGCAUUUGUGUGGUGUCUGAUGUUUUUUAAGGAGCAGAUGGUCAUAGCUACAUCAUAUAAAGUGAAAUCAAUGUAUCAAAUAUUGUGAGUGAGUUUGAUAAUGCAUUUGUUCACUUCAUUUCCUACACAUGUAGCAGAAUUAAAGUUGUGUUUGUUUAAUUAUAUAAAAGGACUAGAAAAGGAAUAACCAUCAGACACAGUAAAGACAGCUUAGAGCUGCUGCUGGAAAGGAUGAAUACAAUAAAUCUUAAAUUAGAAAGAAAACAGAAAUUAUAUUCUGUUACAUUUUAGUAAUCACCUUCUAACUGUAAGGGUUUUUUUUAUAUAUAGAUUGUUUGAGCUCUGAUAGAUGGGAAUGUCAUUAUUUAAUUAAUCUCAGUCUUCAGUAAAAUGUCAAAUUUGGUUUUAAGCAAUUAUUGCUAUUUUUUGAUAUUUGGUUGCAGAGAUCUUUGUCCCUCUUUAUUCAUUCCUGGCUGAACAGAACUGUACUUCAACGUUACUGCACAUUGAGUGGCUGAAUGGCCAGAGCACGUAGUCAGAAGGACUUCAACACUAGAACUAUGAAAGUACUAUUCAGGGUAAAAGUUCUGAAUAUCACAUUUUCCUACAAACCCAAUGAAGCAUAUAGCUAUUUCAGAAUGGAAGAAGACUGUAAUGAAUGGCAGAGAAUCAAAACUUUGGGGAAGAUAACUGGGUAGUCCAGUAAGUACUUUACGAAAAUAUAUGACCCAAAUUUUCCAAAAUGAUUGCUCAUUAUUCCAUCUUCCAAAUCUUCUUUAUCUGUAGGUAAUGAGCUAUAAAUGCUGUGUCUCUGAAAAUCAGAUCCAUAGAGGACAGUUCCUAGGCUAAAGGAGGCUGUAAUGCAACCAAUUCCCAAAUGACAUUGCUGAGACUGGUGUCCCAAUUUUCACUUGUCUCUGAAAAGUGUGC